GCCGAAGUGGCGGAAUUGGUAGACGCGCUAUCUUGAGGGGGUAGUAAGCUUUGCUUGUGAGGGUUCAAGUCCCUCCUUCGGCACCA
rnacentral:tRNA from 3 species